rnacentral:rRNA from 1 species
GAUGAACGCUGGCGGCGUGCCUAAUACAUGCAAGUCGAGCGAACAGAUGAAGUGCUUGCACUUCUGACGUUAGCGGCGAACGGGUGAGUAACACGUAAGGAAUCCACCUAUAAGCGGGGGAUAACAUUCGGAAACGGGUGCUAAUACCGCAUAAUAUCUUCUUCCGCAUGGAAGAAGAUUGAAAGACGGCUCUGCUGUCACUUAUAGAUGACCUUGCGGUGCAUUAGUUAGUUGGUGGGGUAAUGGCCUACCAAGACGAUGAUGCAUAGCCGAACUGAGAGGGUGAUCGGCCACAUUGGGACUGAGACACGGCCCAAACUCCUACGGGAGGCAGCAGUAGGGAAUCUUCCGCAAUGGGCGAAAGCCUGACGGAGCAAUGCCGCGUGAGUGAAGAAGGCCUUCGGGUCGUAAAACUCUGUUAUAAGAGAAGAACAAAUUGUAGAGUAACUGCUACAGUCUUGACGGUAUCUUAUCAGAAAGCCACGGCUAACUACGUGCCAGCAGCCGCAGUAA